UACAGAGGGGGCAAGCGUUGUUCGGAAUUACUGGGCGUAAAGGGCGCGUAGGCGGCCUUCUAAGUCGAACGUGAAAUCCCCGGGCUCAACCCGGGAACUGCGUCCGAUACUGGAAGGCUUGAAUCCGGGAGAGGGAUGCGGAAUUCCAGGUGUAGCGGUGAAAUGCGCAGAUAUCAGGAGGAACACCGAUUGCGAAGGCAGCGCGCUGGGACGUUACUGACGCUGAGACGCGAAAGCGUGGGGAGCAAACAGG
rnacentral:rRNA from 1 species